rnacentral:ribozyme from 14 species
UCGUUUUUUUUUUCUUUAUUGUAUUUCUGUUGGUUUUUGUCUUCGUUCUGUCUCCAAGAGUUCUUGAGAGUGCAAUACAAAAAAAAGCGAAGCUCUGCG